rnacentral:rRNA from 1 species
AUUGAACGCUGGCGGCAUGCCUUACACAUGCAAGUCGAACGGUAACGCGGGGCAACCUGGCGACGAGUGGCGAACGGGUGAGUAAUGCAUCGGAACGUGCCCAGUAGUGGGGGAUAGCCCGGCGAAAGCCGGAUUAAUACCGCAUACGACCUACGGGUGAAAGCGGGGGACCGUAAGGCCUCGCGCUAUUGGAGCGGCCGAUGUCAGAUUAGGUUGUUGGUGGGGGAAAAGCCUACCAAGCCGACGAUCUGUAGCUGGUCUGAGAGGACGACCGGACACACUGGGACUGAGACACGGCCCAGACUCCUACGGGAGGCAGCAGUGGGGAAUUUUGGACAAUGGGGGCAACCCUGAUCCAGCCAUGCCGCGUGCGGGAAGAAGGCCUUCGGGUUGUAAACCGCUUUUGUCAGGGAAGAAACGCUCUGGGCUAAUACCCCGGGGUAAUGACGGUACCUGAAGAAUAAGCACCGGCUAACUACGUGCCAGCCGCCGCCGUAAAAC